UAAAAAAUAUAUCAAUAUUUUUUUUUCUUUUUUAUAAGGAAAAUUCUUUCAAUAUGCACAUUGUGACUGCACAUACUGUCAACGUACAGAGGCAGCCUGUGUUUUGCAGAAGCACGAUAGUUAACUUUGAGGCAAUUCUAUUCUAUCAUCUUUCUUAUUCUAUCAACGUAAUGAAACGAAGAAAGAAAUUUGGUUACCAGAUAUAGGAACUUUUGGUCCUUCGGUACAACGUGUAUCUAAAAAUAUGACAGUAAAAAUACUAAGCUUGGAUUAAAUAUCCAUCAAAUUAAAAUAUUUAUUUUUCUCUUUUCAUUAAAAAAUUAAAACAAACAGAAUGUAACAUCAUUAUUUUUGUUCUUCUUCUAUGAUUAUAGUAAAUAAGAAUUUGAAGAAAGUUGUGAAUAUUAUAAUUUAGUUGAAAAUGAUUUAAGUGUAACAAAAGAACAUUAACGUAUCACGUAACAGGAUAAAAUGGUUAGCAUUGAUAAUCUAACUACGAAUGAUGCGGAUACACAUGCUUCGAGAUGAUAGUUUAACAGUUGAAAGUUUAGAUGGAAAUAGAUUAUAUUUGAAUUCAAUGGCUCAAUUUAGAAUCUACAAUUUUGGCACAUAAUAUCGUUGAAAAUUUUGAAGUUAGGUGUGAUCGUUCGUUAUUGAAGGAUAAUAUGAUAUCUAUUUAUAUUCUUAUAUUUUUAUAUAUUCAAUGAUAGGCAAUGAAAGAGAUUGACAUGGUGAAAUUAAAUAGAAAUUUGAAAAUGAUAUGAUAAGCAAUAUGUAAUUGAACAAAUAAAUCAUAGAAAAAAAUUGAAGAUAAAUUUAUGAGCAAAAAUAAAUAUAAAUCUGAUGAUAUCUUCGUUAACAAUAUUCCUACGCAUUUAGAAGCAUUGAGAAAGAAAAAACGAAGGAAAUACAAUAUUGUACUAGUACUUAAUUUGAAAAAUAAUUUGAUAGAUAAGAAGGGAAAGAGAUCAAAAAGCUGAAAAAAAUUGUUUGAAACGAACAUAUAUAUAUAUAUAUAAACGGGUAAUAUAUAGUAAAACUGUCAUAUUUCACAUGAAACGCAAUAAUAUAAAUUAUUGGAUUAUCUAAAAAAUUAUAUUACACACUUAGACAACUGAUAUUACUACUAUUAGUUUGAUUAUUAUCGAAAUCUUAUUGAAGUCUUACUUAUAAUUUAAUAUAUGGUCACAAAAAUAUUUUUAUACUAUCUUGUAAAGAAAUUGAAUUAUUAUGAAAGAUUUGA